GGUAUAGUGACACAGUAACAGAGGGAUUGAGGGCCCUGCUCAGUGAGUUUACAUGUUAGAUGGAGUGGGGUAUAGUGACACAGUAACAGAGGGAUUGAGGGUCCUGCUCAGUGAGUUUACAUGUCAGAGGGAGUGGGGUAUAGUGACACAGUAACAGAGGGAUUGAGGGCCUGCUCAGUGAGUUUACAUGUUAGAGGGAGUGGGGUAUAGUGACACAGUAACAGAGGGACUGAGGGCCCUGCUCAGUGAGUUUACAUGUUAGAGGGAGUGGGGUAUAGUGACACAGUAACAGAGGGAUUGAGGGCCCUGCUCAGUGAGUUUACAUGUUAGAGGGAGUGGGGUAUAGUG